AAGACUGCUGUUGUACAGCAAGCAGUGCGCGAACUGAGUACAAAAGAGCCUUGAAUCUUCCUGCAAAAAUGAAAUCGAACUGUGUGCUCCAGACGGCAUUCGACACGACAAAACUGAUGGAAAACUGGGAAAAGCAUGGAGGUCUACAACUUCUUUUGGUAGCAAGACUCUCCCGAAUAAAUAUUGUUUUUGCUGGGUUGCAGGAACUAAGUUGAUGCUUGGAUUGGGCCCCUUGAUGGGUAGCCCAGGAGUCCUUGGGAGGACACGCCGUGGUUCCUUCUCCCUUAAAGAGAAGGGUCUCCUUGCAGACCUUAGGUGGUGGCGACCUUUGGCGACAACAAUGGAAGUUUUAGGAAUUUGCUAAACUUAGCUUCUCCAAACAAAAUAUGGUUAAUAAACAGCCUGGAGUUA